AAACCGACACAGGUGGGUGAGGAGAGUAUCCUAAGGCCCGCGAGAGAACUGUUGUUAAGGAACUCGGCAAAAUGACCCCGUAACUUAGGGAUAAGGGGUGCCACCAUCCGGUGGCCGCAGAGAAUAGGCCCAAGCGACUGUUUACCAAAAACAUAGGUUUCUGCUAAGUCGCAAGACGAUGUAUAGGAGCUGACGCCUGCCCGGUGCUGGAAGGUUAAGGGGAUCUGUUAGAGCAAUCGAAGCAGUGAACUUAAGCCCCAGUAAACGGCGGCCGUAACUAUAACGGUCCUAAGGUAGCGAAAUUCCUUGUUGGGUAAGUUCCGACCCGCACGAAAGGCGUAACGAUUUGGGCACUGUCUCA
rnacentral:rRNA from 1 species